AUGUUAGACUGCAAGAGAGCCCCUAAGGCUGGAGCACUCCCCAAGUUAGCAGGCAGAGACAGAGACCUGAGUCCUACUGCUGAGUCAUUUAAAUCUGCUUUAGAUCCGGUUUUCUCAGGGCAUGGAAAGGACAGGGCUCCCAGUGGAGAUAUCAUGUAGCUAGGGCCUAGAAGUAUUUUUUCAGUACAAGAAAUUUAGAAAGAAUUUGCAUAUUUGAUGCUGGGGAGGUAGGUUGUGGAGUGAAAUGGUCGGGGAAAGGAAACACUGAGUUCAAGUGCUUCUAAAGGACACUUAACUGAUCUAAAUAUUUGUCAAGCUGAAUCACUACAUCCACUCUCACCUGCCUGAAAUCAAUAUGCUCAAGUCAAACGCAUUUGCCUGCAUCUGAAUGUGGAGAAUGAACUUCUUAAAGCUGAAAUGGCAGCUGGAAGGGGAGAGAGAAGAGCUGGACAGGGAGCCAGGACACCGGAGUUCUUUUCCACUGUGGUGGGACCUGGAAGAAGCUGUUGAAUGUCUGUAGGGUUAGCUUUUAAAUGCUGUGAGUCUUUGGAAAGCUGUGCGAAUAACUGCUAAACACCCAGGACAGCUUAUGCAUUUUUUGAAAAAGGAUCCUGGUGCUGGUUCCAGCAGAAUAGACACAGAGAUGCAUGGCCUAACUCCCACCCCCUCUUCAGGACUGAGCCACGCAGCCCCCCAUCUGCCAGAAGUGUUAGCUGUUGACGGCUCACAGCUGAGUCCCUCCCCAGGCAUUGCUGAAAAAAGCCACCUUGCUCUAGGAUGUGCCCCCACCCUGGGGGCAGCACACAUUCCAAGUGAUUAGUCCAUAGUGUGGUACAAAGGUUGUACCCAUCUUGCCUGAAUUCAGGAUCUCUUGGAAAACCAUCCCAGCUCUGCAGCUCCUGGUGGGGUGCUGAGGCCUCUGCUGCAGCUGCAUCGCAGUUUACUUUCCCCUCCGCCUAGUCCUGCUGCCGUCACUCCCCAACAGAUCACCUGCUCUGAACAUGCCAUCUACUAUGGAAAUCUUCAAUCUUUAAUUAAUUUCUCCUGUUACAGGAAGAUUAAGUCUAAAACGGUAUCUUCCCUAGUUGAUCCAGAACUAAAUAACAUUGUUUUCAGUACUUCCAGUAACUUGCUUACACUCUUACUUCUAAAGAAUUGAAUGUAUUAUCUUAUGUGCUUGUCACCCCCAGCUUGUGUCAUAGGAGAAAGUAUACGGAGAUCAGGUACAACUUCAGUUCAACAACUUAUGAGCUAUUGGAUCAGUCUCCUUAUUAAUCUCUCAGAGCCUCAAUUUCCUUGUUUAAAAUGGGGGCAAUACCUACCUUAAGGAAUUUCUUGAGGAUCAAAAGAAACCCUAGUAACAAAGCCUUGAACCAUGUCUGACUUAUAGUAUAUAUUCUAACUGCAAGUUCUUUUCAUGUUUUGUCCAUGAAUUCUUCAUUCAUUCAUCCAACAACCAAGCAUUCACUGAUGCUCCAAUUGUGCAAGACACCGUUUUAGGCCUUGAGGAUACAAACUGCACAAGCAGGACAACGUACCCAGUGUUACGCAGGGUCUGGUCUAGUGGGAGGAGAAGACAGUGACCAUGGCCCGUGAUGAGUGACAGAAUGAUAAGUAAUCAGGAAGAUAUGAUAGGAAAUACAGGGAGAAUGGGAGAGUCUGCUUUAUGUUGCAUAAUCAGAGGGCAACUCUGGACAGGCAAAAUUUGAGCUGAGACCUGAAUGACAAGGAGUGAAGCCAAUGGAACAUCUGAAAGAAUAGUUUUCUGAAAAGAGAGCCCAGCUAGUGUGAGCCCUAAAGUAGGUAGAAAAUGGGCUUGGAGGGUUUUAUAUGAGGAGUAGCAGGAAGUAGGCAGAGGCCUGGUCAUUGUAGGUCAUGUUGGCUAGAGUAAAGAGCUUGUGUUUGAUUCUCAGGGCAAUGAAGAGCCUUUGGAGAAUUUAAAGCAAAGUGGGGAGGGGGAACAAGAGCUGAUUUACAUUAUUUUGAACAGCACCAGGAGGGAUAGUACUGGAUAACAAGAGUGGUAAAAGGAGACCAUUUAGGAGGUUAUAGCAAUUGUCCAGGGUGGCCUGGCCUGCCACGGUAGCCACAGAGACGGUGAGAGGUGAGGAGGUGCCAGGUACCGUCAUGGGGGACAUAAUGACAUUCGAUCAAUGCUGAACUACAUAUAUGAUAGUGGUACCAUGAGAUGAUAAUGCAGCUGAAAAAUUCCCAUCACCUAGUGACCUCGUAGCUGCUGGAACAUUGCAGGGCAAUGCAUACACGCAUGUAUGUGGUGAUACUGGUGUACACAAACCUACUAUGCUGCCAGUCCUAUAAAAGUAUAGCACAUAGGAUUAUGUACAGUACAUGACACUUGAUAAUGAUAACAAAUGACUAUGUUACUGGUUUAUGCAUUUACCAUACUAUACUUUUAUCGUUAUUUUAGAGAGUACUCCCUCUACUUAUUUAAUAAAUAUAGUUAACUGUAAAA